CGAUGGAAUAUGAUUUUUGAGAUUAGGAAAGUGAGAUUCCUCUUUAGAUCGUCGCCGGUCAGAGCUACUCCGUCAUCUAUUAGCUCCUGUGUGCUUUUCCAUCUCACUGUAUCACACUGGAAAUAAGAUUUUGAUCGGAAUUGUAUUUAGAUCUAGAGUCGUUCCGUCAACAAUCAUAUGUUUCGUGAAAUGUUGAUGUCUUCUUCAGCUCUAUUUUGCGUCGAUGUUACUCUCUUUGGGAUGGUCAACUAAGGUAUU